rnacentral:misc_RNA from 1 species
CAACUGCGAUAACUAGUGUGAACUGCAGAUAUUUUGAACACUAAGAUUUCGAAUGCACAUUGCGCCAUGGGAAUUUUAUCCCUUGGCACAUCUGGUUCAGGGUCGUUUUUGUCUAAAGCAAAUGCUUUCAUAGUGAAACCGCGAACAGUUGCAUGAUCACUUUGCUAUUAGCUUAGCGUGGUGUUCAUGCAUAGUGGAGAAUAAGUCCAUUCUUGCCCUUGACUCAGCGGGCAGGCCCUUGGCGUGGCAUUGUAGCUUCUAAGCCGCCCUCGGAGUUUGUGUUGUUGAGUCAAUAGUUGCGCAAUUGCUAUUUCGACCUGAACUCAGGUGUGAGCACCUGCUGAACUUAA